rnacentral:rRNA from 1 species
GAUGAACGCUAGCGGCAGGCCUAAUACAUGCCAGUCGAACGGGUGGUCGCAAGACCACUAGUGGCGCACGGGUGCGUAACGCGUAACCAACCUGCCCCGAUCUGGGGGAUAGCCCGCCGAAAGGCGGAUUAAUACCGCAUAUACCCGCAGCCUGGCAUCAGGCAACGGGGAAAGAUUUAUUGGAUCGGGAUGGGGUUGCGUGACAUUAGCUAGUUGGCGGGGUAAGGGCCCACCAAGGCGACGAUGUCUAGGGGACCUGAGAGGGUGAUCCCCCACACUGGCACUGAGAUACGGGCCAGACUCCUACGGGAGGCAGCAGUAGGGAAUAUUGGGCAAUGGGCGAGAGCCUGACCCAGCCAGGCCGCGUGCCGGAUGAAGGCCUUCUGGGUUGUAAACGGCUUUUCUCAGGGAAGAAAAAGACCUUGCGAGGUACACUGACGGUACCUGAGGAAUAAGCACCGGCUAACUCCGUG